rnacentral:rRNA from 1 species
GACGAACGCUGGCGGCGUGCCUAAUACAUGCAAGUUGAGCGAUGAAGAUUGGUGCUUGCACCAAUUUGAAGAGCAGCGAACGGGUGAGUAACGCGUGGGGAAUCUGCCUUUGAGCGGGGGACAACAUUUGGAAACGAAUGCUAAUACCGCAUAACAACUUUAAACAUAAGUUUUAAGUUUGAAAGAUGCAAUUGCAUCACUCAAAGAUGAUCCCGCGUUGUAUUAGCUAGUUGGUGAGGUAAAGGCUCACCAAGGCGAUGAUACAUAGCCGACCUGAGAGGGUGAGCGGCCACAUUGGGACUGAGACACGGCCCAAACUCCUACGGGAGGCAGCAGUAGGGAAUCUUCGGCAAUGGACGAAAGUCUGACCGAGCAACGCCGCGGGAGUGAAGAAGGUUUUCGGAUCGUAAAACUCUGUUGGUAGAGAAGAACGUUGGUGAGAGUGGAAAGCUCAUCAAGUGACGGUAACUACCCAGAAAGGGACGGCUAACUACGUG